rnacentral:tRNA from 1 species
GAGGGUGUAGCUCAACGGUAGACUGUGUGCUUCGCAUGCCUGAGGUCCUGGGUUCAAUUCCCAGUACCUCUG